rnacentral:rRNA from 1 species
UACGAAGGGUGCAAGCGUUAAUCGGAAUUACUGGGCGUAAAGCGUGCGUAGGCGGUUAUUUAAGUCUGUUGUGAAAUCCCCGGGCUCAACCUGGGGAAUGGCAAUGGAUACUGGAUAGCUAGAGUGUGAUAGAGGAUGGUGGAAUUCCCGGUGUAGCGGUGAAAUGCGUAGAGAUCGGGAGGAACAUCAGUGGCGAAGGCGGCCUGCUGGGCUGUUGCUGGCGCUGAGGCGCGACAGCGUGGGGGAGCAAACAGG